GGAGAGGUGCCAGAGUGGUCGAAUGGGCCGCACUCGAAAUGCGGUAGAGUAGCAAUGCUCUCGAGGGUUCGAAUCCCUCCCUCUCCG
rnacentral:tRNA from 1 species